GUCUACGGCCAUACCACCCUGAACGCGCCCGAUCUUGUCUGAUCUCGGAAGCUAAGCAGGGUCGGGCCUGGUUAGUACUUGGAUGGGAAGGAAAAUAAAAAGUCCUCAAUG
rnacentral:rRNA from 1 species